CCCCAACCGGCAACCGGCUGUCCUCCCUCUGCCGACGCCGACUCCUCCACUGUGCAGUGCCUAGCCGACUCCUCCACUGUGCAGUGCCUAGACGACUCCUUCCUUUGUCCUAGGUUCCCUCUUGUUGCUGGAUCCGAACCCUAACUCCUCUGGGUUGGGUUGUGGUCAGCCUACCCGACUGCAGCUUCUCCGGAUCUUGGCAGUAAGUUCUAUAGGAUUUGAGCAGUGUUGAGGCAUCAGGGAAUAUGGGUAAGGUUGGUGUUAAGUUAAUUACUGUUGAGGUGAGUAUGGGAAGAUGAACUUGAUGAUUUCGAUGGUUUGAGCUAUUGGUAUUACUUUUGUUAUGUAAGCAUAGGGUUAAUUAUAUUAAAUCCUGUGUAGACCUUAUAUGGUGAUUUCCUUUGCAGACAUUGUUGGAGAAAGCCCUAAUCGCUGUGAUCUUCCUUUUGUGUGAUCCAGAGGACCUUGACGCGAGACAAGUUUCUUAACGUCCGGAUUUGGACUGAUUGGAUCUUUCCUAUU